rnacentral:rRNA from 1 species
UACGGAGGGUGCGAGCGUUGUCCGGAAUCACUGGGCGUAAAGGGCGCGUAGGUGGCCUGUGGAAGUCUGCGGUGAAAGCCCGGCGCUCAACGCCGGGUCGGCCGUGGAUACUCUCGGGCUCGAGCUUACUAGAGGCAGAUGGAAUUCCGGGUGUAGCGGUGGAAUGCGUAGAGAUCCGGAAGAACACCGGUGGCGAGGGCGGUCUGCUGGGGUAAUGCUGACACUGAUGCGCGACAGCGUGGGGAGCAAACAGG